UACAGAGGGUGCAAGCGUUGUUCGGAAUUAUUGGGCGUAAAGCGCGUGUAGGCGGCUUGGCAAGUCGGGUGUGAAAUCCCUCAGCUCAACUGAGGAAGUGCGCCCGAAACUGCUUAGCUUGAGUGCCGGAGAGGAUGGCGGAAUUCCCCAAGUAGAGGUGAAAUUCGUAGAUAUGGGGGAGGAACACCGGUGGCGAAGGCGACUUACUGGACACAUAUUGACGCUGAGGUGCGAAAAGCGUGGGGGAGCAAACAGG
rnacentral:rRNA from 1 species